AUAAUACAGCAAACGUUCUACUGGUGAACAAUGCCCAUUUCAUAAAUAUUUGACGUAGGCCCUCACAUCAGGAAUGUAUUGAAGCAUGUACUUAAGUCCAUCCCUGUUCGGCAGAGCACUCAGCUGGAAGCAAAACACAUGCUUAAGUGCAGUGAACAAAAGCAUGUGUGAAGCACAUGCUUAAUUAAGUCCUUUUCUGAAUAGGGUUGUGCAGCUGAGUUGUUGACAUAGUCCUAAUUAUCUUCAAAGCAUUAGAUUGCCAUUAAUUAUGUCUCCCAGCAACUCUGGGCAGGAGGGAAGUAUCAUUAUUCCUAUUGUACAGAUGGAGAGAUUGAGGCAGUGGUUUUAAGUGACAUGGCCGAGGGGUCAUGGCAACUGGCUGAGCUGGGAAGAGAACUCAGGAGCUCCAUACUUGUGUUCUGACCACCAGAGCACACUUCAGGCUCCGAGCAAGUUCUCAGGACAGCCUCUAGCAUUGUAAAGUUUGGGCUUCUCUGCAACAGAGCAAACCUAAAGGCCAGAAAGAUGCAGCACACCAAAGGAGGUCAACAAUGCAGAUGUUACGGUCGGCAAUAAUAAUCUGUUGAAUGCCAGCCUCCGGUACACAUGCAAAGAUGGUUACAAAAGGAAAGCUGGGACAUCCAGUCUCAUUGUGUGUGUAAUGGACAAAGUCACCAAAACACUCCGUUGGACCGAGCCAAAUCUACAUUGUAUUAGGGACCCUGCUCUACCUCCUGUAACUUCCAGCCCCAAACAGACAACAUCAGCACCUAGGACAGAGGCGACUAGUCUUGUCAGCAAAGAAUCAAAGACUUUUACACCAUCUAAACCACCAGUAACUGCAGAGAUUACCACAGUCCCAGUCAUGGCCUCCACACCAUCCUAUGAAAGGGAGAUCACUUCACCACUAGCAGGCCCCGUCUCACAGCUCAGGACUGACAAGCCUUCACGGGAAACACUUGCACCAGCAACAACUGAGAUCAGGUCAUCAAAGGGGCCUGCUUGCGUGAGCACGGAAGACACAACACAACGGCGCACCACAGCCACGCAGGACACACACACGACCCAGCUCUGGACGGAUGAGCCAUUGUUGGAAACAGUUACAACAGAAGGAGAUUGGUCAACAGCAGUGCCAACCAGUGUGACCACAGGAGACUCAACACAGCUUCUCACCGCAGUCACCCAUAACACUAAAGUUUCCGCCCGAGUUAUGCUCUCUUCUGUGGGGUUUCCCAUGUUGCUGACCGUUGUAGCUGUUGUAUUAUGUUGUGUCUGGAGACGGCGAGUCCACAUGAGGCGACAAUACACAAUACCUGUGAUAGCCAUUCCCAUGACCACAGAAGAGUCAGAAGAAAGGGAUGGAACACCACCAGAAGACAAUGGUUCAAACGGUCCAGAACAACGAAGUGAAAGGACAGAGAUGAUGUCAUCAUCUUGUGUGACAUCGACUGGUUGA
rnacentral:lncRNA from 1 species